rnacentral:rRNA from 1 species
UCAUCCUACGGGGCGCAGCAGUGAGGAAUAUUGGUCAAUGGGAGAGAUCCUGAACCAGCCAAGCCGCGUGAGGGAAGACGGCCCUAUGGGUUGUAAACCUCUUUUGUCGGAGAACAAAACCCGGGACGUGUCCCGGACUGCGUGUAUCCGAAGAAAAAGCAUCGGCUAACUCCGUGCCAGCAGCCGCGGUAAUACGGAGGAUGCGAGCGUUAUCCGGAUUUAUUGGGUUUAAAGGGUGCGUAGGCGGUCCGUUAAGUCGGCGGUAAAAUUGCGGGGUUCAACCCCCGC